CGGCUCAGUAACACGUAGUCAACAUGCCCAGGGGACGUGGAUAACCUCGGGAAACUGAGGCUAAACCGCGAUAGGCCAAGAUUUCUGGAAUGGAUCAUGGCCUAAAUCUAUAUGGCCCCUGGAUUGGACUGCGGCCGAUCAGGCUGUUGGUGAGGUAAUGGCCCACCAAACCUGUAACCGGUACGGGCUCUGAGAGGAGGAGCCCGGAGAUGGGCACUUAGACAAGGGCCCAGGCCCUAUGGGGCGCAGCAGGCGCGAAACCUCUGCAAUAAGCGAAAGC
rnacentral:rRNA from 1 species